UUUCCGUAGGUGAACCUGCGGAAGGAUCAUUCACAAUAAGUGUUUUAUGGCACUUUUUAAACAACCCUUAUCCACCUUGUGUGCAACGUUAAGAGACCCACUAUCGUUAUCUUUUAGGUUACCGAAGGGGGAACCUCUACAACUUACCAGCAACGCCUUUAACUUAUUUGUCUGAACAUUUGUUAACACGAGUGAACUUAAUGCGAAAAUACAACUUUCAACAACGGAUCUCUUGGCUCUC
rnacentral:misc_RNA from 1 species